rnacentral:rRNA from 1 species
UACGUAGGGACCGAGCGUUGUCCGGAAUCAUUGGGCGUAAAGAGCGUGUAGGCGGCCACUUAAGUCCUGCGUGAAAUCUUGCGGCUCAACCGCAAGCGGUCGUGGGAAACUGGGUGGCUAGAGUGCGGGAGAGGAGAGUGGAAUUCCUGGUGUAGCGGUGGAAUGCGCAGAUAUCAGGAAGAACACCCGUGGCGAAGGCGGCUCUCUGGCCCGGUACUGACGCUGAGGUGCGAAAGCGUGGGGAGCAAACAGG